UUGCGACCGUAUCACGUUGAAACACCGGUUCUCCUACGAUCGUCGAAGUUAAGCAACGUUGGGCCUGGUCAGUACCUAGAUGGGUGCGGUUGGGAAUACCAGGUGCUGUAAG